CCGUAACUCCUGAACGAAUUGGUUUACAAACAGUCAAUCCUAACAAUCUAAACAACAAAGAGUAAAUGAGCGAUAGCCUAACUGCAGAUGUAGCCAUACCACAUUUAAAUACAGUGAACUACGUGACUAAAGCUAUGAUAUGAAUAAACAAGGAAAGAAGAAAAGAAAAACGUGUCGGGAAGAAAGUCACCCAUCUGAAAUCUUCUCAUUGAAGAGG
rnacentral:lncRNA from 1 species